ensembl:lncRNA
GUAUUUAACGGAAGGGUAGCUUGUUCAGACACAUAAUUUAGAAAGAUUGUUCUUGUGGCCAUGUGGGCAGCGGGUCAGAGAAUUAGAUUCCAGCCAGGAGGUUGUUGGGCUUCCCUGGUGGCUCAGACAGUAAAGAAUCCACCUGCAAUGUGGGAAACCUGCGUUUGAUCUCCGGGUUGGGAAGAUCCCCUGGAGAAGGGACUGGCAACCCACUCCAGUAUGCUUGCCUGGAGAGUCCCAUGGACAGAGGAGCCUGGCAGGCUGCAGUGCAUGGGGUUGUAAAGAGUUGGACACGACUGAGCGCCUAAGCACAGCGUAGCACAGGAGGUUGUUGCCUUGGUUCAGGUGGGAGGUGCUGGCCUAGGCGAAGGAGAUGACACAGACACCCAGAUGAAGAGAAAUCCAGAUCCGCGAAGCACCUGGGCCCAUGGUUCCUAUCUGGCAGAGUCUCAUUUUGGACCCUAAGUAUCACAAGACCUCUCCAGUCCAUGCCUCCUGGCAACUCUGCUUAGCAUACUGGCCCAUCCUGCUUUUGACCUCAGCCCUCCCCCAUCCCCCCACAGUGAGCUCAGACUACCUCUUAGACUGUCCACUGCAAGGACCUGUUUCUUGUGUGGGGACUCAUCUUUGUGGGGACUCACUUCCUGUUUGCAGCUGGAUGCCUGCUCAGCAUCCAGGAGUCAGGCGCUCCUCUACAGUUUCCAAGCUGCUCGGUCACAUCUUUCUCUGAUACAGCUUCUUCUAUGGCACAAGUGUGCACUAAAACUGAAAUCCAGGGCUUUCCUGGUGGUUCAGUGGUAAAGAAUCCACCUGCCAAAGCAGGAGACAUGGGUUCAAUCCCAAGGCCAGGAGGAUCCCACAUGCCACAGAGCAACCAACCCCAUACACCACAGCUACUGAGCCUGUGCUCUAGAGCCCAUGCUCCGCAACAAGAGAAGCCACCGACAUGAGAAGCCUGAGCACACAACUAGAGAAAAGCCUACUUGUACCAACGAAGACGAAGCACAGCCAAAUAAGUAAAAAAAAAUUUUUUUUUAAAGAAAUUAAAAAAAACUUAAAAUUCAAGUCAUGCUGACCAGAGUGGGCGGGCCAUCCACCAUGAAUAUUUGCCAUAGCAUCUUCAGCAUAUUAGUGAGAACUGAACACUGAACUAAGGCCUUAACAUCUGUUAUCUCUGUGCGUGUUUAAUACAACCCUGAGAGAUUCUCAUAUUAUUCCUAUUUUAUGGAUGAGGAAAUAGGCAAAGAUGUUAAGUAACUUUCUCAAGGUCACCAGGCUAGAAACUGGGACUGGAGCCCUGUUGCAUCUAAUGUUAAGUGCCUGCUCUUAACCACCACUCGAUACUGCCUCUCGUGGUCUUCAUCAGCAUUCCAAGGCCUCAGUUAAGUCCUCUGCCUGGGAUCAGCCUCAGAGUCUGGAUUAUUCCCAGAGCAAAUAUCAGGCCAGGACUAAAUCUUGGGCCCAGAAAAACUCGGCGGGGAACAAAUGGAACCCUGGAAGGGAUUUUGCUGCAGUCGAAGGAGUUGGAGAUUAGGAUUCAAAAGGACUGAGGUUGUCUUGCUCGGCCCCUUGUUGUCUGAGUGGACCCGGUCAAAUCUUGAAUCUCUCUGAGCAUCAGUUUCUUCAUCGGUGACAUAAGGGUAGCAGCAGAAGCUACCUCUCCGAGAUGGACUGAGGAACAAGUGAGGAAAUGCGUCAACAUAAGGCAGGAUCCUAUGGACUACAGAGGACUGUCUGAUGGAAUGACUGUUAGUGCCAGCCACUACUCAGUAUUUGUUAUGGGACAAACAAACUGCUUUGGCAAAUGUCACAAAGGUUUGCCUUCCAUUCCACUCCUGAAAAGUGAAAAUUAGGGAGCUCCCUAAUAGGGACUCCCAUAACCACUGGCAGUCCAGUGGUUAAGACUCUGUGCUUCCAAUGCAGGGGGCGUGGGUUCCAUCCCUGGUCAGGGAACUAAGAUCCCACAUGCUGCAAGGCACAGCCAAUAAAUACAUAAAUAUAUAACAUAAAAAGAAUUUUAAAAAUUUUGUCAUGAUUGCUGGGGCAGAAUUCGGAGGCUGUGGGUACAACCAGGAGCCCCUGGGCCUGGACAUAUAUCUAAGAUGACAAGUGUGAAGUGGAAGUCACUCAGUCGCGUCCAACUCUUUGGGACCCCAUGGACUGUAUAGUCCAUGGAAUUCUCCAGGCCAGAAUACUGGAAUGGGUAGUCUUUCCCUUCUCCAGGGGAUCUUCCCAACCUAGGGAUCGAACCCAGGUCUCCCAUAUCUAAGAUGACAAAUUUUAGGUCAACUUGCCACGCUCCCCCUUCCGUUAACCUUUUGUGAUCUUUCGGCAGCUGUGUUUUGAGCUCUGGCCAUCUUUCCUUACUUCUGUAAAACGAGGGAUCCGAGCCAGUUCAUCUGGACAGCUCCCUAAUUUUCACUUUUCAGGAGUGGAAUGGAAGGCAAACCUUUGUGACAUUUGCCAAAGCAGGAUUGUUGCCAGAGGGCCUCCCUCUGCAGUCAGUGGCCAAGACUCUUCGUGUCUCAUGUGUGUGUCAGGUCUCACUGCUGAUCUUGUUAUUAAUUGAUUCAGUAAACUUUUAUUAAAACUUAAAUUGCAAAAUUCUUGCUGUAAGAAAUAUAGAUGAAGCGCCCUUUCCAAUUCCAGAAUCUCCCCCCAGAGUUCACAGCUGUGGUCAGUGUACUGGGUAUCCUUCCAGACCGUUUCUUAUGCAUUUAUCUGUAUGUUAUAUAUACAAAGAAACACACCAUUUUGGGGUGUGUUUUUAAUCUUUGCGGACAAAUAUUC